rnacentral:misc_RNA from 1 species
UUUUUAAAAGGGAAAAAGUAACCUUUACUCAAUAAUGUUGACAAUAAAACUAUGUGGUUACAGAACAUUUUGUUAUUUUUUCUCCUUUUGCUCUCGGUUCUACCGUAUACAUAAGAUGGAACGUUAAAUCAUCCCUAAUCCUACAACUAAUCUUUGAUCUUUCUCCAAAAUAGUAUACAGUGACUUAAAAUUCACAACCUCUGGAACUAAAGCCGCCUGUACAGCUCUCCAGAUAUCAUUAAACUGAUCUGUGAUUGAUAAAAGACUUAGUCAUUGAACAGCUUGAUUACAUAAAGAAAUCCAUCUGAUGGACAGUACUACUAAACUUCAGGACCAGAAGCAAAUAAGCUAAUAAGCCCUUGAAAUACUUGUGCUGAGAGUUGGUGUGCUGGAAAGAGCUCGCCAUCCAAAUUCCAGACGCUCUCAUUGCCAAACGAAGUAAAUGUAAAAGCUGGGGUCUUAUGGUGUUCUACAAACUCAAAAUUCAGGGGUUUUCCACCUCUCUUUGCAAGCUGGGUAAGGUGCCAUAAAUACAAAGCACGAGGACAAUCUCUAAUCAACAGAAGAUGCAGGAAACCAUCAGAAAGGUGAGCAUCAGCCACCAAGCCAUCAGGUGCUCUUUCAUUUCUGUUAGAAAUUACAGCAGCACCAACACUAAGAAAAUGUCCUCUGCAUCUCCGCCAUCUAGUUUCUUCUGGGCGCGAAUAGGGUGUUGCACGGGGACUUCUUGUGGACAUGUAAACAGGCUUCGUUUUACAGACACCACAGUUCAUGCGACAAAUUGCUCUUUCUGAUUUUUCAGGACCCCAUACUGCUCUCAUUCUGCUAAGUGGAUGACCUUUCCCAGCAGCUGAAUUUGUUUUUUCUGGUUCAGUUUCCAUGUAUGCUACUUCUGCCUCAUAUGACCUGUGUCUCAAAAACACCUUUGUUCCAGCAUAAUCAUAACGUUUAGGGCCCAUCCAACGGUAUUUUUCACUCUCCGUAAUAACAUCUCCAUAAAAUCCAUACCCAGCAAAAGAAGCUGCAUAGCGUACGCAUGGUUCAACAUUUGAUGUGGAUGACGUUUUCCAUCUCACAACUUGAGCUAUAUCAAGGUACACCCUUUUACCCAAGACAAUGUGCAAUGCAGAUGUUAUGGGAUCUCGUAUUCCAGUUGUACUGCAAAAGAAAAUUUUAAUAUAAUGAAAGAUUGUGUUAGAUAAGUGUGUGUGUGUGUGAUUUACAAUCUUGUUAAUAAAUUUUACAUGAAUCACAUAAAGAAGAAAAUUGCAAAACCUUAUUCCUGAUAACAACCUCACAACCAAACUCUAGCAAAUGAACUUAAAGAGACAAAAAUUAGUAUGCCUAUAUGGAUAAAAUAUAUAACAAGAAGACAAUACCACAUCACAAUGGCAUCAGUUGAACCAGCAGGAAUAAUUCCAAAUCUAAACCGUUCUUUGAGUCGAGGGAACUCUAGAUCUUGAUCUGUCAGUAUCCAGAGCAGCAAAAGAACCACUAUUAGAUAUUAUGCAUUAUCAGGUGCCAAUAGACGUGAAAUGGCAGAUGCAUACUCCUACUGGCUUCAUCUGGUUAUUAUUAUGAUGGCCAUUGGAUUAUGAGAUACAAUUAAGCAUAAGAUAUCUUAGUUAACUAAAAUCACCUAAAUUCUGGAGCUUACUAACCUGUAAAGGAAGGACCAUCUUCUGUUCCUGUAAUUUCAGAUACAUGAAGUAAUACGUUAGAUAACCACUAGCUUCAAUUACAAUUGAAAUCCAGAUAUGUGCUUGUAUAGAUGUCAAGAUACUAUGGUACAUACUGAAAUCUCCUAAUCCAGAACCGUUACAUAUAGAACUUGAAAUAAGAGGAGAAUUAUCUUCGUUUUUGUGAGCAGUUUCUGGAACCGUCUCAUUUGACUUGGGAACUAAAGCACUGCCCUUGCUUCCAUCAGAAUGAAUGAAAUCUGAAGGAGAUGGAGGGUGAGGAGCUCUAUACCUAGGAAGAAGAAACCCAUUAAGGAUUUCAUUGAAGAAGCCAUCACCGCCCUGGAGCCAUAUCAAAAAGCAAUAAGCAAUAAUCAGAAAAAUAGUCACAAGACCUCUUGUAACUUAGCAUAGUGCAGAAACAGAUCAGAGAUUGAAACCAAUGCACAGGUCAAGGCCCAUAAAACCAAGGAUAUGAGCAGGACUGGUCCACAUGAAAUUCACAGCUGUCAAGCAUUCAUCCCCAGUUACAUUAGGAUCUACAUAUGUGCAGUUACGCAGAAAGUUCACUGUUGGCAGCAUUGAGGUUUUCUUUAUAAACUAACUAAUGGCAUCAACCAUUGUUUAAUUGACCUCGAAAUCCCAUGAUUUACUAUUUCCUACUACUAAACAGAAAAAAAGAAGCAAAAAGUGAGGAAAAUGAAAGGAUCCUCAUGCUUACGACAGCUAUGACACCAUCAUAUGAAUUGAGUUCCUUGUUGGCAAGAGAUGCCAUCACAUCAAAUGCAUGUCCCGCCCUCUCAGUUACAACCACCUUUGCUUCUACAUCAGCGCGUGAGAAAAUGGGAGCCACAGUUUCCCAAGUCCUACAGCCAUUUGCUUUCCCACUCCUUGGAUUAACGAAAACCUAGUCAAUAGGAAAUAAAAGUCUGGAAGCAUUUUUACCACUAGUUUAUGACUUCACCAACUGAAAAUCUAUUGAAAAACAUAAAUGGCAUAGCAAUCAACUAAUUGCAGAACAAACCAGAAGAUUCUUUGGUCUCUCAACUUCUAUUUUCAGUGAAGCAUUAAUUCGAUUAACCCAUAACUGACAUGUCCGCAAAUCCUUGUGACCAAAAGUGUAUGUGGUCAGGACCCACAGACAAGGCUGAGUCUGAGACUUUUGAACACCAUGCACUGAAAAGCGAUACAUCUCAGAGUCGUAAGACUUGCGACUCAAAAAAUACUUCCCAGCAUUAGGGUGAUUUGAUCCAUGAUUGAAACCAUAUUUAACAAACUCCACACCAUACACAUCAAAAAAUUUGAUCUCUGUUGCAACUUUGGGAACAAAUUUAAUUCCCAAACAAAUUGAUUCAUCAGUUUCGAAGGAAUCAAGCAAUUCCCAAGACAAACCAUCAGAAUCGAGAGUUAGAACAACUUCCCCAACAUUAUCCAAGAAAAGGGUCGACCUCAAAACCGAUGAUGCUUCCCCACCUUCUACCUCUACAUUAUCCAAAGGAGAUUUAUCUCCACCAAUACUAAUACUAGCCUCAUCAUCUCCCCGAAUUUCCAUGAAGCCAGAUUCAAAAAUGAAAUAACUUGAACUUGUAUUAUUUUUAGAAUCUAACAAAAUCUGAGUUAUCUUGCGAUGAACUCACCUGAUUUGAAAAUGGAAAAGGGAAUUCCGCAAUUCCUUUAUCCAAAUCAGGUUAUCUGAUUUAUCACACAAAGCAAAGAAUCAUCCAAAUUGGAGAGACGGCGUCAGAAAAAAGGUCGUAGAUAUUUAUUUUUGUUGGGCUACGAAUUUGGCAUUAGCCCCCGCAAUUCCACUGUUUCUGCUCAAAAAGAAAAAACGGAUCGUAAGAUUCGG